UACGUAGGUGGCAAGCGUUGUCCGGAUUUACUGGGCGUAAAGAGCUCGUAGGCGGUGUGUCACGUCGGCCGUGAAAACCUGCAGCUUAACUGUGGGCGUGCGGUCGAUACGGGCAUCACUGGAGUUCGGCAGGGGAGACUGGAAUUCCUGGUGUAGCGGUGAAAUGCGCAGAUAUCAGGAGGAACACCGGUGGCGAAGGCGGGUCUCUGGGCCGAUACUGACGCUGAGGAGCGAAAGCGUGGGGAGCAAACAGG
rnacentral:rRNA from 1 species